UUGGCUGCAGAAGUGUAGAAGAGGAGCCUAGAGGCUCAUGCACUACAGAAUUUGAAGCAACUGCUAUAGGAUUUCCUUCCAACUGCAACAUGAUACUCCCCAAUAUUUCAGUUAAUAUUUUCUUGAAUUCUUCUUCUUUCACCAACUUUGCAUCAUCUGCACUCACCAACUUGAACACUUCACCAAUUACCUUAUCCAUCUGCAAAAACAAAUACACAUGCACAAAUAUUCAAUUCAAUUUCAGUCUCAAUUAGACAUAUGAAGCAACAAAAUGAUGAAAAAGUGUGAGAGAAUAGACAACACACCUCUUCAAUUGCACCAAAUGGAGGUAAAGCAGCAGAUGGAGCCACCGUGUCCAGCGCCACGCGUAGUAUGAAUUAUUGGCUACCCAAGAAUCAGAAGUAGGAGGAAUCCCUUGAUCAACAUUGAGUUUGCUGAGAGCUUGAAUUAUAAGAUCAUGAAGAGAUUUUUGAGGUGAUUCAAUUUGAGAGAAUAUGGAAACUAUCUCUGGUUCAUAACUUGGACCAUUAAGAAACUCGAGAAGAUCUUCGCCAUCAAUGCGAAGUAUCACAAUUGGAUCACGUUUGAGUCCAGCAGCCAUGCCCAACAGAAUGUCUGAGAGAACCUCUUUGAACUCAGUCUUGCUCACUUUUUCUUGCUUUCCAUGUGUGAAUUCAUUCAAUACCUAAAGAGUUAAUAUGUCAAUUGUCAAGAAAAAUUGUCAUUUCUUGUUUCCUUAUUGGUUCAAUAUAACGGCUAAUCAAAGACAAAGACAGAUUCUUAUCAGCACUAAGGAAUAAACAAAAAUUAUUAAAAAUUACAGUAUGUGUAUAUAAUAUCAACAAAUGCAUGUAUGUGUGUAUGUAUUUCAUUCAAAUUGACUUAAUGUGUGGUUUCACAUAUAUAUUGAUUGAUUG
rnacentral:lncRNA from 1 species